rnacentral:misc_RNA from 1 species
CAAAUGCUCAGCGAAAUACCGCUGCUGCUGAGCUUCUUGGGCUCUUCUUGCUGUGGCUGAGACUCGACAGGGGCUGAUUGGUGUUCCGGCGGUGGCGCAGUGGUGGCAGUACUGGUUUCGGAGUCGGUCAUGGUCGCGAAAGAAAUAGGAAAUUUUUUAGAUUUGGAAGGGAGAGGAGAUCGAGAGCAUUCAAUGGCUGCUUUAAGCGUUAACUGAGAAGUGAGAAGAGCGCUGCCGUGGGGUCAUUUGUGGGUGAGGUAUAAUGACCGGUUACCUUAGAUCUAAU